UUAAGCGACUAAGCGUACACGGUGGAUGCCCUGGCAGUCAGAGGCGAUGAAGGACGUGCUAAUCUGCGAUAAGCGUCGGUGAGGUGAUAUGAACCGUUAUAACCGGCGAUUUCCGAAUGGGGAAACCCAGUGUGUUUCGACACACUAUCAUUAACUGAAUCCAUAGGUUAAUGAGGCGAACCGGGGGAACUGAAACAUCUAAGUACCCCGAGGAAAAGAAAUCAACCGAGAUUCCCCCAGUAGCGGCGAGCGAACGGGGAGGAGCCCAGAGCCUGAAUCAGUGUGUGUGUUAGUGGAAGCGUCUGGAAAGGCGCGCGAUACAGGGUGACAGCCCCGUACACAAAAAUGCACAUAUUGUGAGCUCGAUGAGUAGGGCGGGACACGUGGUAUCCUGUCUGAAUAUGGGGGGACCAUCCUCCAAGGCUAAAUACUCCUGACUGACCGAUAGUGAACCAGUACCGUGAGGGAAAGGCGAAAAGAACCCCGGCGAGGGGAGUGAAAAAGAACCUGAAACCGUGUACGUACAAGCAGUGGGAGCCUCUUAAUGGGGUGACUGCGUACCUUUUGUAUAAUGGGUCAGCGACUUAUAUUCUGUAGCAAGGUUAACCGAAUAGGGGAGCCGAAGGGAAACCGAGUCUUAACUGGGCGUUAAGUUGCAGGGUAUAGACCCGAAACCCGGUGAUCUAGCCAUGGGCAGGUUGAAGGUUGGGUAACACUAACUGGAGGACCGAACCGACUAAUGUUGAAAAAUUAGCGGAUGACUUGUGGCUGGGGGUGAAAGGCCAAUCAAACCGGGAGAUAGCUGGUUCUCCCCGAAAGCUAUUUAGGUAGCGCCUCGUGAAUUCAUCUCCGGGGGUAGAGCACUGUUUCGGCAAGGGGGUCAUCCCGACUUACCAACCCGAUGCAAACUGCGAAUACCGGAGAAUGUUAUCACGGGAGACACACGGCGGGUGCUAACGUCCGUCGUGAAGAGGGAAACAACCCAGACCGCCAGCUAAGGUCCCAAAGUCAUGGUUAAGUGGGAAACGAUGUGGGAAGGCCCAGACAGCCAGGAUGUUGGCUUAGAAGCAGCCAUCAUUUAAAGAAAGCGUAAUAGCUCACUGGUCGAGUCGGCCUGCGCGGAAGAUGUAACGGGGCUAAACCAUGCACCGAAGCUGCGGCAGCGACACUAUGUGUUGUUGGGUAGGGGAGCGUUCUGUAAGCCUGUGAAGGUGGCCUGUGAGGGUUGCUGGAGGUAUCAGAAGUGCGAAUGCUGACAUAAGUAACGAUAAAGCGGGUGAAAAGCCCGCUCGCCGGAAGACCAAGGGUUCCUGUCCAACGUUAAUCGGGGCAGGGUGAGUCGACCCCUAAGGCGAGGCCGAAAGGCGUAGUCGAUGGGAAACAGGUUAAUAUUCCUGUACUUGGUGUUACUGCGAAGGGGGGACGGAGAAGGCUAUGUUGGCCGGGCGACGGUUGUCCCGGUUUAAGCGUGUAGGCUGGUUUUCCAGGCAAAUCCGGAAAACCAAGGCUGAGGCGUGAUGACGAGGCACUACGGUGCUGAAGCGACAAAUGCCCUGCUUCCAGGAAAAGCCUCUAAGCAUCAGGUAACAUCAAAUCGUACCCCAAACCGACACAGGUGGUCAGGUAGAGAAUACCAAGGCGCUUGAGAGAACUCGGGUGAAGGAACUAGGCAAAAUGGUGCCGUAACUUCGGGAGAAGGCACGCUGAUAUGUAGGUGAAGCGACUUGCUCGUGGAGCUGAAAUCAGUCGAAGAUACCAGCUGGCUGCAACUGUUUAUUAAAAACACAGCACUGUGCAAACACGAAAGUGGACGUAUACGGUGUGACGCCUGCCCGGUGCCGGAAGGUUAAUUGAUGGGGUUAGCGGUAACGCGAAGCUCUUGAUCGAAGCCCCGGUAAACGGCGGCCGUAACUAUAACGGUCCUAAGGUAGCGAAAUUCCUUGUCGGGUAAGUUCCGACCUGCACGAAUGGCGUAAUGAUGGCCAGGCUGUCUCCACCCGAGACUCAGUGAAAUUGAACUCGCUGUGAAGAUGCAGUGUACCCGCGGCAAGACGGAAAGACCCCGUGAACCUUUACUAUAGCUUGACACUGAACAUUGAGCCUUGAUGUGUAGGAUAGGUGGGAGGCUUUGAAGUGUGGACGCCAGUCUGCAUGGAGCCGACCUUGAAAUACCACCCUUUAAUGUUUGAUGUUCUAACGUUGGCCCCUAAUCGGGGUUGCGGACAGUGUCUGGUGGGUAGUUUGACUGGGGCGGUCUCCUCCUAAAGAGUAACGGAGGAGCACGAAGGUUGGCUAAUCCUGGUCGGACAUCAGGAGGUUAGUGCAAUGGCAUAAGCCAGCUUGACUGCGAGCGUGACGGCGCGAGCAGGUGCGAAAGCAGGUCAUAGUGAUCCGGUGGUUCUGAAUGGAAGGGCCAUCGCUCAACGGAUAAAAGGUACUCCGGGGAUAACAGGCUGAUACCGCCCAAGAGUUCAUAUCGACGGCGGUGUUUGGCACCUCGAUGUCGGCUCAUCACAUCCUGGGGCUGAAGUAGGUCCCAAGGGUAUGGCUGUUCGCCAUUUAAAGUGGUACGCGAGCUGGGUUUAGAACGUCGUGAGACAGUUCGGUCCCUAUCUGCCGUGGGCGCUGGAGAACUGAGGGGGGCUGCUCCUAGUACGAGAGGACCGGAGUGGACGCAUCACUGGUGUUCGGGUUGUCAUGCCAAUGGCACUGCCCGGUAGCUAAAUGCGGAAGAGAUAAGUGCUGAAAGCAUCUAAGCACGAAACUUGCCCCGAGAUGAGUUCUCCCUGACCCUUUAAGGGUCCUGAAGGAACGUUGAAGACGACGACGUUGAUAGGCCGGGUGUGUAAGCGCAGCGAUGCGUUGAGCUAACCGGUACUAAUGAACCGUGAGGCUUAACCUU
rnacentral:rRNA from 1 species